rnacentral:lncRNA from 1 species
CUGUUGUUUUUUUUUAAGUGUGAGAAGCUGUAGGCUAUUGCAACUUCUCACUUGUGUAUUUGAAUGUUAAAAUAUACACAACAAAGCCUAUCAAUAGAUCAUACAAUAAUGUAUAUGUCCACUUCCUCCACAGGUUAGUGUAUAGUACAGAAAACAUAAGCUGAGCCUCACCGUUUGCUUUCAUAAAAACUUUGGAUGCUACGUACUUUUAACAUGAAAAGAAAUUCCAAAAAGAGUUUAAGUACAUUCUUAUUAUCUCAUAAGAAUAUAAGAACAGCCAUACUGGGUCAGACCAAACGUCCAUCGAGCCCAGUAUCCUCUCUUCCAACAGUGGCCAAUGCCAGGUGCUUCGGAGGCAAUGAACAGAACAGGUAAUCAUCAAGUUAUCCAUUCCCUGUCGGUCAUUCCCAGCUCCUGGCAAACAGAGGCUAGGGACACCAUCCCUGCCCAUCCUGGCUAAUAGCCAUUGAUGGACCUAUCCUCCAAAAAAGAACUAGAUACGUUGAUGAACCCUGUUAUAGUCUUGAUCUCACUUGCUUUUUCUAUAUACUAGAUGUUAUUUUCUGUGAGAGAGAGUAUAUAUAUAUAUAUAUAGAGAGAGAGAGACAGAGAGAGAGACACACACACACAAACUCUCUCUCUCAAGAAAAUAACAUACUAAAAAUAUAUAUUAAAAUAUUUUUUUUGUC